UGUGUGUGGGUGUGUGUGUGUGUAACUGGUAGACAGACAUAAAAAACAAGUGUAAAAAUAAAUCCUCUUUUGCAACCCCAGACUUAGUGUUCAGUAUGCCUUUUGCUACAUAUACAAAUGAAUAUG